rnacentral:rRNA from 1 species
AGCGUACACGGUGGAUGCCCUGGCAGUCAGAGGCGAUGAAGGACGUGCUAAUCUGCGAAAAGCGCCGGCGAGGUGAUAUGAACCUUUGACCCGGCGAUGUCCGAAUGGGGAAACCCAGUGCAAUUCGUUGCACUAUCGUUAACUGAAUACAUAGGUUAACGAGGCGAACCGGGGGAACUGAAACAUCUAAGUACCCCGAGGAAAAGAAAUCAACCGAGAUUCCCCCAGUAGCGGCGAGCGAACGGGGAGCAGCCCGGAGUCUGAAUCAGCUUGUGUGUUAGUGGAACGGUCUGGAAAGUCCGACGGUACAGGGUGAUAGUCCCGUACACGAAAGCACACAUGCUGUGAACUCGAAGAGUAGGGCGGGACACGUGGUAUCCUGUCUGAAUAUGGGGGGACCAUCCUCCAAGGCUAAAUACUCCUGACUGACCGAUAGUGAACCAGUACCGUGAGGGAAAGGCGAAAAGAACCCCGGCGAGGGGAGUGAAAAAGAACCUGAAACCGUGUACGUACAAGCAGUGGGAGCCUCUUUAUGGGGUGACUGCGUACCUUUUGUAUAAUGGGUCAGCGACUUAUAUUCUGUAGCAAGGUUAACCGUAUAGGGGAGCCGAAGGGAAACCGAGUCUUAACUGGGCGUUAAGUUGCAGGGUAUAGACCCGAAACCCGGUGAUCUAGCCAUGGGCAGGUUGAAGGUUGGGUAACACUAACUGGAGGACCGAACCGACUAAUGUUGAAAAAUUAGCGGAUGACCUGUGGCUGGGGGUGAAAGGCCAAUCAAACCGGGAGAUAGCUGGUUCUCCCCGAAAGCUAUUUAGGUAGCGCCUCGUGAACUCAUCUUCGGGGGUAGAGCACUGUUUCGGCUAGGGGGCCAUCCCGGCUUACCAACCCGAUGCAAACUACGAAUACCGAAGAAUGUUAUCACGGGAGACACACGGCGGGUGCUAACGUCCGUCGUGAAGAGGGAAACAACCCAGACCGCCAGCUAAGGUCCCAAAGUCAUGGUUAAGUGGGAAACGAUGUGGGAAGGCACAGACAGCCAGGAUGUUGGCUUAGAAGCAGCCAUCAUUUAAAGAAAGCGUAAUAGCUCACUGGUCGAGUCGGCCUGCGCGGAAGAUGUAACGGGGCUAAACCAUGCACCGAAGCUGCGGCAGCGACACUAUGUGUUGUUGGGUAGGGGAGCGUUCUGUAAGCCGUUGAAGGUGUCCUGUGAGGGGUGCUGGAGGUAUCAGAAGUGCGAAUGCUGACAUAAGUAACGAUAAAGCGGGUGAAAAGCCCGCUCGCCGGAAGACCAAGGGUUCCUGUCCAACGUUAAUCGGGGCAGGGUGAGUCGACCCCUAAGGCGAGGCCGAAAGGCGUAGUCGAUGGGAAACAGGUUAAUAUUCCUGUACUUGGUGUUACUGCGAAGGGGGGACGGAGAAGGCUAUGUCAGCCGGGCGACGGUUGUCCCGGUUUAAGCAUGUAGGCGGAGGUUCCAGGUAAAUCCGGUACCUUAUUAACGCUGAGGUGUGAUGACGAGGCACUACGGUGCUGAAGUGAUAAAUGCCCUGCUUCCAGGAAAAGCCUCUAAGCAUCAGGUAACACGAAAUCGUACCCCAAACCGACACAGGUGGUCAGGUAGAGAAUACCAAGGCGCUUGAGAGAACUCGGGUGAAGGAACUAGGCAAAAUGGUGCCGUAACUUCGGGAGAAGGCACGCUGAUAUGUAGGUGAAGUCCCUGCGGACGGAGCUGAAAUCAGUCGAAGAUACCAGCUGGCUGCAACUGUUUAUUAAAAACACAGCACUGUGCAAACACGAAAGUGGACGUAUACGGUGUGACGCCUGCCCGGUGCCGGAAGGUUAAUUGAUGGGGUUAGCGGCAACGCGAAGCUCUUGAUCGAAGCCCCGGUAAACGGCGGCCGUAACUAUAACGGUCCUAAGGUAGCGAAAUUCCUUGUCGGGUAAGUUCCGACCUGCACGAAUGGCGUAAUGAUGGCCAGGCUGUCUCCACCCGAGACUCAGUGAAAUUGAACUCGCUGUGAAGAUGCAGUGUACCCGCGGCAAGACGGAAAGACCCCGUGAACCUUUACUAUAGCUUGACACUGAACACUGGUCCUUGAUGUGUAGGAUAGGUGGGAGGCUUUGAAGCGUGGACGCCAGUCUGCGUGGAGCCAACCUUGAAAUACCACCCUUUAAUGGCUGGUGUUCUAACGUAGACCCGUAAUCCGGGUUGCGGACAGUGUCUGGUGGGUAGUUUGACUGGGGCGGUCUCCUCCCAAAGAGUAACGGAGGAGCACGAAGGUUGGCUAAUCCUGGUCGGACAUCAGGAGGUUAGUGCAAUGGCAUAAGCCAGCUUGACUGCGAGCGUGACGGCGCGAGCAGGUGCGAAAGCAGGUCAUAGUGAUCCGGUGGUUCUGAAUGGAAGGGCCAUCGCUCAACGGAUAAAAGGUACUCCGGGGAUAACAGGCUGAUACCGCCCAAGAGUUCAUAUCGACGGCGGUGUUUGGCACCUCGAUGUCGGCUCAUCACAUCCUGGGGCUGAAGUAGGUCCCAAGGGUAUGGCUGUUCGCCAUUUAAAGUGGUACGCGAGCUGGGUUUAGAACGUCGUGAGACAGUUCGGUCCCUAUCUGCCGUGGGCGCUGGAGAAUUGAGGGGGGCUGCUCCUAGUACGAGAGGACCGGAGUGGACGCAUCACUGGUGUUCGGGUUGUCAUGCCAAUGGCACUGCCCGGUAGCUAAAUGCGGAAAAGAUAAGUGCUGAAAGCAUCUAAGCACGAAACUUGCCCCGAGAUGAGUUCUCCCUGAGACCUUGA